rnacentral:rRNA from 1 species
UACGUAGGGUGCGAGCGUUGCCCGGAUUUAUUGGGCGUAAAGGGCGCGUAGGCGGCCACGCACGUCCGUUGUGAAAUCGCCCGGCUCAACUGGGCGGGGUCAGCGGAUACGGUGUGGCUCGAGCAAGCUAGGGGGCAAUGGAAUUCCGGGUGUAGUGGUGGAAUGCGUAGAGAUCCGGAGGAACACCAGCGGCGAAGGCGGCAUCCUGGACUGGUCCUGACACUCAAGAGCGAAAGCGCGGGGAGCGAUCCGG